rnacentral:tRNA from 1 species
GGGAUUUGCGGAGCAAAUUGAUAGUCAUGUUAAUGAUAUGACUGAAUCUUUGCGAGGACUCAUAAUCCGUUGGUGCCGGGUUCGACUCCCGGGGGGCCCACCA